rnacentral:lncRNA from 1 species
GUCGAAUGUCUUGGACAGGAACGGCGGAACCGGGAUUUCCUGCAGAAUCGAAAGCGGCUGAGGAAUAAUGGCAACCGGAGGGAUUAAUGGCUCAGCUUUGAACUCGAACGCCUGCGAGAAAUCCUCGAAGGCCAUUAAUGGAGAAGCCGGAAUGGGCAUUUCCUCCAUAACUGAGCACACGGGGAUUGAGCUGGCGUCAGGUGAUUCCGAGUAG